CUGGGCACUCAGUUACGCUCAGAAGCCUUGCAUAUGUGGUUGUAAUUCUACAAUCUGUCCUAAGAGAAAGGCAUUGGACAGCUAUGGCAUCGUUCCCGUACCUGUAGUCUACCUGGGGCAUCUUGCCCAACUGAGGUCUCUUCCACCUGUCUGGAACGGGCUCCCAUACUGAAAGCAUAGCGUCUUCUCACAGACACACAUCUUGGGGGCAGUCACGGCAACCUCAGAAAGCAAGGCCAGCCUUGUGAACGUAUUUUCAAGUCUCUUAUGUUAUUACAUCCAUUAAAGACUCGAUUGGCCAAAGCAAGUCACAUUAUUCCACUGUGAUGCUGUAGCAAUUAUGGGAAAGGUUUAUUUGCACUUGGGAGUAGUUUUCACUCCUCACAAAGGAGCUUUUUGUCUUCACUUUGUAGAAGAGGGGGAAGGGAUGGUUUGUUCCAGGAAUCGUAGCCGGCUUGCAGUGAACCAGGAGGUUUUGCUAUGGGGUGGGAUUGAAGCUGCCUGUGGUGGACUCUUCUUGACUUAUUCAGAAGUCCACCAUAGCCACUGGGCCAUCCCAGAGGUAGAGACUUCUCUAUUGAUCAUUCCCACCAGGGAUGCCCUCUGUCCUGCCUCAUGUGUGUGCUGACCAGCCUAUGUGAAAGAGUCUCAUGUCGGACCUAGGAAUAAAACACCCGGUUCUGUGUCUGCAGUCAAAUCCCUUUGCUGUUUAAGGGCCAUUGACACCGUCUCUUCUGAGAGCAUCCUUCUGUGAUGACUUUUCUGGAUCUUGGCUUUGUUUUUCAGACAUGCUCAGAGCCCAGCUGAAGAAGAGCUGUCUGUUUAAUAGGAGUCUGGGGAAAGGUUCCUGUUUAUCAAAACACACCCACACAACAAAACUGCCGAGGAGUUCGCAUUGCCAGAAUCAGCCUGAGGCCAGGGUGAGGUGAAGAGAUAGGAUCUUAUUUAUUAAAGGAAACAAGAUUUUCUCUUGCUGCUCUGCUACAGGAGCAGAUGCUCUGAAGAUUGACGGAAUCCUAGGGCACAGGGAAGGAGUGUGGCGUGGGCUGAAGUACGGACUUAUUCAACACCUUGGUUCGGGACUCGCCCACCAACCCUUUCCCAAGUAACCACUAAUUUGCGCAUGCUCAGUGGCUGUUCUGCAAACAUGAAUGGAGGCUCUCAUCCAAUCUCCUAUUAGCCUUCUCUGCCCCGGACCCCAGCCUGUGGAAUGGUGCCAUUCACGUUCGGAGUGGAUCUUCACCCUUGGUUAAACUUCUCUGGGUGACUGGCAGUUGGGAAUCACCUAUGUUCUAGGGUCAUGAGGAUGAGGAACGAAAAAGAGAUGGUGGUGAUCCUGAGCUCCUUUGCAGAGAGGACCAUUCUUCUUCCUGCACUCUGGUUUGCUUGGCAGGUCCUCUCCUUGGAUGUUCAAGGCCAUGAAACCAGCUUCUUUACCUGACCCAUGAAGAAAGGAAGAGGUGCAAGGUCGAUAUCAAGAGGGCGAACAUCAUUGUAAGUUAAUUUCAAGACUGAGCCCGGGACGGUGUAGACAGAGCCAAGCCUUAUCAAAACAGUAUCCGUUGUAUCUGUUCUCCAGCUCCAUGCUUGGGAUCCAUCAAGACAAAUCCUGCAGGCUUUUGGAGCGUUCCGCAAAGUCACUGAAAAAACAGUCCGUUUGCUGCCAGUUGUGGAGGGAAAUGCUGGUUGCUUUUUAAUUUACCUUGUGGAAUGGCAGCUGCUGGGCAUUUGUGAGCUGUGCAUGACCACUAGAUCUCGGGGCUGAGAGCCAGACACUUUGGCCCGAUCCCUGUUCUGGAGGUGACACGGGUGUCUGAGACCACUGUCUGGGAACAACUUCGAAAAACUCCCUGAGCAUUGUCAAGCAUGCUCAGGAGCUGCCUUUUUGCUUCAAGGCAUUUUAAUUACCCAGUGAAGUGGCAGCAGGGGAGACAGGGCCAGCCUUGGAGACAUCAGUGGUUUGGCUGGAGUGAAGUGGCCCAGAUGUUCCAGCUGCCCCUAGCCUCUCUCUGUCCUGAUAUGUCUGCUAACACUCUAGACUCCGCCAUCCAGCAGAAACAUAACGUGAGCCACAUAGGCAAUUUUAAACUUUUCCAGCAGCUAGAUGGAAAGAGCUAAGGGAUUUGGUAGAAUUAAUCUUAACAAUGUAUUUUGUCUAAUAUGGUCAUCUCAUAGAGUCCAUUGGGCACUGCUUCCAGGGCCUUUCUGGGUGUAGAAGAUUAUGGUGCUCAAGUCCUGUGUAAAAUGGCAUAUAAUAUGCUUCCAUUACCUGAAGAUUAUUUAUAACACCUACCACAAUGUCCGUGUCAUUCGCCUGGGAAGAAGGAAUGUCAACUGAAGAAAUGACUCCAUCAGUUUGGCCUGUGGGGUAGCUGCAGGAUGUCUGGCUUUGUAGCAUCUAAUGCUGUCUGGGAUGGCUCCAUUCUGCUCUGACUCCUAGCAACAGCAUCCCUCUGUGCACUAGCCCCACAAGUCGGAUGUCCAGAAGAGGCUGUUUUUGGAGUCCCUCAACUGAGGUGAAAAUAGGCAGUUGUUCCUUCUCCCAGGACCCGUCCGGCUGCAUCUGUCUCAGGCUACCCAGAGAAGAUGGCUUUGCACCCGCUGCUGAUGGGCCUUCUGGAUCAUUCCAUCUGCCAUGCAACAGUGGCCCCAUUAAGCUUUAUUCUUCAGGAGGUCUUUGCUACUGUCUAAUAGUUUCCGUGCAUCUAUCAAGUUCCCCCUCUUUCCAAAAGAGCAGACUUGGAAAUAGAUUCUGCAUCUGUUUCUUUGGAACAAUAGAACACAUUUAAACCAUGCUGCUGUGGCUCCCCGAGUUUUAUUAGCAUUUCACCUGUGGUUUGGUGACACACACAAGCUGGCUUGAAAACCGUUGAAAAGGGUUUCUUUGUUGAUUAAUUUGUUUUUCUUUCUCAUGACUCUGCCACUUAGGAGAUAUUUAAAUUGCGUUUUGCUACUUUGUGCAAAGCCAGUCUGCUCAGGCAAAAUGAUGUCAUGGGGAAAGUUGAAUUUGCAAUUUACAGAGUAAAAUACACCUGGAAGAGGGAGGGCCUCAGUGGCCUGGAGGCCCAGUGUGUCUACUGAUGGCGAUGGCUAUUGGUGGCAAGUUCGAUACCAUUCCUGAUGUCUGGCGUUUUGACUUCUGCUCUGAUAUCUACAGGAGCAGAGUAUUCAUUUCCUUUAUAUCAGCCAUGAGCUCUGCUCAUGCUCCCUGAACUAUGUCGCACAGGAAGUAUCAUGGGCUCCACAUGUUCCAGUUUGGAUUCCUUAGUUAAGACUACAGAGCCCCAGACUGUGAUAUCCUAGAGGGUCCACAUAUUGACAUGUGUCCUCCCCAGAGCCCCUGGAGGACAAAUAAAAAGUCACUGGAAUCUACUGAAAGCAGUGAAUGUGCAGAGACGCAGGAUCUGGGUCCAUUAGAAACAGACACCCCGGAGCAGACUUUGUUAUAAGGACAACACACAGUAAUUUGGGACUCAACCAGCAUAGAGGGCACAUUCUCUUCUGUCUUGGGUAAGGUCACUUCCAAUCUGUGUGCCCCUUAUCAUUCACAACAAAUGUGUACCCGUGAGAGUUCUUCUCUUUAUUAACUGGGCCAUAACUGUAACUUAAAGCCAGCAUUGUAGUCACUCCUGAAAGCUUUACAGAUGCACUCCUAGACCACAUACCAGGAGUGUGGUUGGGGUCUAGAAGCCUGGAUCUUAGGAAGAGCAGAAGAGAUAAACAACUGAUAACCUGAUUUUGUACCAAAGUUCUCAGAGCCCCUUGGGAUGUUUGUUAACCACUGAGAUUCACAGGAGCUGGGAGAGGGACCUGGCACUGAAGUUCUAAAAGGCUCCCCAGGAGCACCAUGUUUGAGGAAGAUCGCCUUGCAGAGCAUUGUCUUAACAAGGCUCAUAGCUCUGUGUGGCUGCUUGUCACAGAGUACUGUGAACAACGAAGAUUAUUGUCCUCAUGGUGAAUGAUUGUGGAAGGGCUUGUGAGCUGUGCUGGCCACUGCAGAAAUACUCCUUGCCACAGAUUAGUUGGGCUGCUUGUUCCUACCCUCUGCUGUUCCUGGUCUUCAGAGAACCAUAGCAUCUGAAAAUUUAUUUUAUUUUUUUUUGAAGGCUGAACAUCAUGCCGGCAGUUACCAGAAACAAAUGCAUCACUUCUCACACCUUACCCUGCUUUGCACCUGGAGAAAUCACUUGUCCUCUCCACAACUCCUGCCCCUGGGAAGAGCUGAUUAUUCAUUUCUCACAGCUUGCUCAGUCCAGCCAUUUUUUUCUCUAGUGCUCCUGGCCAGGAGUGGGUAGAUAGCUGUGAAUCCCACUGUGUAGGAUGCAGCCAUCGGAUGGAGCCUUGAUUGUCAAGAUACAUGUCACCCACCCCUGGAAUCCAGGGAGGGUGUGAGCCAGGCUGGUGGGGAAGAUGCUGCUGUGAGACUUGCCUUUCUCACUUUGACUUUCCACAUGUCUUUCAGAAAGUGUCACGGGAGUGGGAGCUUCAGGUACCAAGGUGUGCAGCAAUGCUCACUGCAGGGACUGUGGCCAAGGGUGAUGUCACAGGGAAUCCCCCGGAGGCUAUUCAUCCUCUCACUCUUCCAGAUUAUCUUUGUUGGCUCCUAGGAACCUGCAACAUUCCCAGCAGACAUUCAAGACUUUCUGUCUGCCUCUCCCAAUUUCCAUCUUGACUUUGGCAUUGAUGAGUGAACCUGAGUGUUUGCUCAAUUCUCUGGGCAUCAGUGUCUAUACCAGCCAUGUGAGGGUGGCUAGCUUUCAGGGGUAUUUGUGAAGGAUCCUCUCU
rnacentral:sRNA from 1 species